CCCUUAGAUGUUCUGGGCCGCACACGCGCUACACUGAGGGAGGCAGCGUGUACUCCUGGAUCGAAAGAUUUGGGUAACCCGCGAAUCUCCUUCGUGCUAGGGAUUGAGGUUUGCAAUUAUCCUUCAUGAACGAGGAAUUCCCAGUAAGUGCAAGUCAUAAGCUUGCGCUGACUACGUCCCUGCCCUUUGUACACACCGCCCGUCGCUACUACCGAUUGAAUGAUUUAGUGAGGACUUCGGACUGGGACCGAUGCGGCUUUCGGGCUGCGUCGGUAUUCUGGAAAGAUGUCCAAACUGUAUCAUUUAGAGGAAGUAAAAGUCGUANCA
rnacentral:rRNA from 1 species